UACGUAGGUGGCAAGCGUUGUCCGGAUUUACUGGGCGUAAAGCGCACGUAGGCGGCUUUGUAAGUUAGGGGUGAAAGCCCGGAGCUCAACUCCGGAAUUGCCUUUAAGACUGCAUCGCUUGAAUCCGGGAGAGGUGAGUGGAAUUCCGAGUGUAGAGGUGAAAUUCGUAGAUAUUCGGAAGAACACCAGUGGCGAAGGCGGCUCACUGGACUGGUAUUGACGCUGAGGUGCGAAAGCGUGGGGAGCAAACAGG
rnacentral:rRNA from 1 species